UCUGAUCGUCCAAUCAGCUCUGGCCUUUUUCUUAGGCCUCUGAAAUGAAUUUGAGGGCUCAGCAUCCCUUUUACCUCUGCCUUUCUCUCUGUUCUGGUGAUCAGCGUGCUUCUCUUCUUGGAUGACUUUCACCUUGUCAACCAGUGCUGCAAGAUCCCGCUCCCUCUAAGGAGCUAUCAGAACCCUUAGACCAUCUCUGAGGCCAUCCUAAAAUGGAACACACCGG
rnacentral:lncRNA from 1 species